GGCCUCCGGCUGUUGUGGUAUGGAAGACUAGUGAUUUUGUUGUUCGGCAUAAAGACCGGUAACAAAAAAUCUCUAGUUCACCUACCAAGGCAG
rnacentral:pre_miRNA from 1 species